GGGCUCAUAGUCUAGUGGCUAGAUAAAUGAGGCUAAGACGCGGCGCUUACAACGCCGAGACCGCGGUCCGAUUCCGCGUGGGCCCA
rnacentral:tRNA from 1 species